UACGUAGGGGGCAAGCGUUGUCCGGAAUCAUUGGGCGUAAAGAGCGUGUAGGCGGUUCGGUAAGUCGGCUGUGAAAGUCCAGGGCUCAACCCUGGGAUGCCGGUCGAUACUGCCGGACUAGAGUUCGGAAGAGGCGAGUGGAAUUCCCGGUGUAGCGGUGAAAUGCGCAGAUAUCGGGAGGAACACCUAUGGCGAAGGCAGCUCGCUGGGACGUUACUGACGCUGAGACGCGAAAGCGUGGGAGGCAAAC
rnacentral:rRNA from 1 species